GACCGCCCCGCCCCGCCUCGCCUCCGACACGUCCCCCGGGCGCCACUGCAGAGCCUGUCCGUCAGUCCCUAGGUAUCCGCACUGCUCAGGGGUAAAGGAACGGAAUGUUUAGUCUGAAAGCUUAGAAGGAAGAUGAGGUGCAGCAUGAAGACAAAAGCAAAAUCGGAAAGCUAAAACAGAGGAUUCCCUGGGAGCACCCACCAGCUGAGAUCUGCACAUCAGCCACAAUCCUCUCAGGACGGCGGAAAGGGAAGGGCUCAGCCGCCAGCCUGGCCACAGCCUGCAUCAUCUCAUCCCAGAGGCGGAGCACAGGCUCGGGGUCCUUCAGGGCCUGAAGGUUUGUGGUUGGCACUGUCAGGAUGAUGUUGUCCGUGGCCAGCUCUCCCCAGGGAGCCAGGUUCUCCUGCAUCUGCCUCUUCCACUCCUCCAGCGAUGUCUUACCUGGGAAUAAAUAUCAUGGAACCUACCACACCCACUUCUCCAACUUCCCUUGAGCUGAAAAAUACCAUUUGAACUCUGGAAGAACAUUGCAAUAAUGAACUACUAUCACAGGCGUCUAUAGGCUGUAAAGUGAAGAAAAGGCUUCCUGACUCUUCUCUUUGUCUGCCCUGAAGUCUCCAUGGACACAGGGUAUUCCGUAUCUUCUGCCUCCAUGUUCCCUCCCAACAGUUCUUCCUCUUUCUCUCCACCAAAGCUCAUCCCUCUCCCAUUUAGCAACCACCCCACAGUUCCCACGGCAUCUGCCACUCUUCCUCCUCCCUAAAUGUUCACUCCACUUACCCAGCUUGUAGUAUGGGGCAGGCACAGCUCCCCUGAUAGUGACAGGCACAGGGCCUAGUUGGCUGCCCUUGGGCACGAUGACGUAGAGGAGGCCGCCCCAGAGGCAGGAGACUGACCGCUCAGUCCUGUCCAUCCAGCAUUGGUGAGUCACCACGGGGGCUCGAGAUAGCUUCCUGGCCUUGGUAAGGUCAUCGGUGUGGCAGCCUAUCUGUACCUGGACAGGUGAUUCCACCAAGCGUUGGAGAAAUUAGAGUCUUUGUGAUGCUUUGUGAUGUGCGUGUGAGGUUGUGUAGAUGGAAGGUAUUAGACAAACAUGCCCAUGAAACCCCAGCUUCCCUUUUCUAUGUGCUAGGCAUGGAAACUUAUGAAAUUUUAGCACUCCAAAGUCAUUUGGACUUCAAGGCAUUUAAAAUCAUUUUUCUAAGGAUUUAAACAGCUCCACUAUAAGUCUUCACCUGACAUGAAUUGGUGAGAGACCAGGCUGAUCCUGGCAAAGGUCUUGUGUCUUUCUGCCAGGCAAAAUCCUGGGUUCUUCUAGCAGGACCUAAGCCAGUCUGGGGACGCUGAUAUUGAGGAUGAGCUGGGGGACUCUGCUCUGUCCUCUGUGAACACACAGGAGGCCCAUCCAGAGUGAGUGAGGUUGAUUCUCUCUCCCUCUUUGCCCAGAGCUUCCCUUUCUGGCCGCCAGAUGGGUGGAGAUCUGUUUUGUCUGGAGUCCUGGAGUUGCUUUUCUUAGGUUUGAUAUAAGCAAGCUCCAGAAAGAAUGCUGACAGAAAAGGGACCCUAGCUGUGGUAGGAAGUGGCCCUCAGAGUCAAGGAGGCAGGAUGAAUUUAAAUUCUGCAUGUAGGGCAUAUUUUGGGGAGUGAUGGGAUUAUGCACACCCUUCAGGUGUCAAGAUAAAGAGAUAAAACCAGAGUUUGUGCAGAAUGAGCUUGCUGACACACAGCCUAAAUUUGUACCGCAUGUUUCAUACUAACUCCCUCUGAGUUUGCACAUGGGACCCAUGAGGAGGCAUGAAGAGGUAACUGCCCAUGCCCGAGGAUUUUCCAGCCCUUCCUUUUCUUUCUGUCAAUCACCUACUAAUCACAGAAUCCACUCCCUACACCUUUUCUACUAAAAUAACUCUUUAAAAUAAGUACAAUGGGACAGAUUUGAGCUGGGCUCCUGUCUCCUUGUUAAUCAAAUUGCAAUAAAAUGUUUUCUUUUGUUUU
ensembl:lncRNA novel transcript